GCACGGGGGCCCUGGCUGCGGCCAUCCGCGCCCAGGACGGCUACGGCCCCCCGCCCGGGGAGGCCAGCAAGGCGCUCAAGGCGCUCGUGGACGCCAGGCGAGCGGGGCUCGUGAGGGAGGGGGCUGUUACGCUUGGGGGCCGUGCGUGGGCGUGCGCAUGUGUCAUGCCUGCGUCCGCCUGACUCCGAGGCCUGGCCUGAUGAGUGAUGUCUCCCUCCGCUACCUGUCACCUCACCUGGCCUGCCCCCUCCCAGGCGCGCCAAGGGCCCGGCGGGCGAGAUGGAGGACGUGGUCUUGGCGCCCGACGGCGACGGCGAGGGCGACGGCGAGGGCACUAAGCGGGGCGGCGAGGGCGGGGCGCCAGGCGCCAAGCCGCAGACCCUGACCGGCAUGCUGGGGCAGAGCCAGGAGGGGGCUCCGGGCCGGCGGCUGACACGUGACGAGUCGGGCGUGUCCCAGUCGGCAGGGCUGGGCGGCACGGGCGUGCCGGUGCGCGGCAGUGUUUAUGCGGGCCUGCCGCCGCCCGACCUGACGGAGGAGGCCCUGCGGCGCAAGGACUGGGAGCAGCCCGAGCCGCAGCCGCUGGGCCAGUGGCGGCAGUCGCUGGCGGCCAGUGGGGUGCACCCGGUGCACAGCGCGGACAUGAUGCACCAGGUGCCAGGGGGGAGGGGGGGCAGGCGGUGUGUGUAUGUGUGUGUGGUGGGGGGUUACAUUCAUGAUUAUUUGUGUGUGUCAGGGGGGGGGAGCGCGGGAUGGGGUCGGGGCCGGGCUGUACGGCUGCAGGAGGGGGAAGUGGCAUGUCCCUGCAUCACUACCUCCCCCCGGCAUUGUGUCCCAAGUACUCCGUCUUGCAUGUACGCCCCAACCCCAACCCCAUUCACACCCACACCCACACCCACACCCACACUCCUGCAGGUCCGCGGCCUGGACCCGGACACCCUCAUGGCGUCCCUGAAGCGCGUGUUCGAGACGUACGCGGGCUGGGGCGGCGGCGUGGACCGCGGCGCCCUGGACCGGGUGCGCUGGGGCAAGGUGCUGCGGGACUGCCUGCUGGUCAGCGAGAGCGGCCCGCUGCCGGCGCGCAAGGCCGACGCGGUGUUUGGCAAGGUGCUGCCCGUGAGCAGCAGGGCGCUCAACUUCAUACAGGUGAGCGCGAGGGCGCGCGAGCACCGUAUGUGUGCAAUGUGCGUGGGUGGGUGGGCGGCUGUGUUCGCGGCUGAGCGGCGCCACAUGCUUUGCAGAGUGUGACACAUCGCUCUUGCGCAGCUAGUAGCGGCGUGGGCUGGGGUGCAGGCAAUACCCAUGCGGCCGCUGAUUCCGUCAUGCUCCAUACCAGCCCCUCCCCUGUUCAACCAUUCGCGGGAAGACCCGCAAAUGUACUCCCGCCCCGCACCUACAGCACCUGCUCCACUCCCACCCGUCCACUGUACAACCCCCCUCCCUGCCCUCUCCCCCCCUCCCCUCCGCCCCCUGCAGUUCAUCGAAGGCCUGCGGCACGUGGCGCUGCACCACCGCCUGGCGCUGAACGAGGUCAUGGAGCGACUGGUGGCGGUGGGCGGGCCGCGGGCGGGGGCGUAGAAGCUGCGGAGGCAGGCAGGCAGGCAGACAGGCAGGCAGGCAGGGAGGGGGCAAGAGCAGGCGGAGGCGGAGGCAGGCGGUCUGGUGUUGUGCGGGUGGCUCAUGUGAUGUGGUGGUGGUGGUGGGGUCUGAGCAGGAUGAACGGCUGAGGCCAGCUGGCCGUUGGCGGAGACGUCUGUUGGCUGGUGAUGAGCACCCCGUUUUGGUGCAAGCUAAGAGGGCAGUGGACUUGACAUGAACUGCACCGGGCGGGGUUGGGCAAAGAAUGGCACGGCAGGUAGGCGGAGCAUGAUAACUGACAUGACAUGACACGGUUGGAGGUCUGACCACAUUGUGACGUGACCCGACAACGGGCGACACUUGCAACUGUCCAUCAAGCUCAAAUCUUGUGUAUGCAACAUAACCUGUCCUUUGAUAACAAGUAGGCAGGUAUUGGAAGCGGCUCCAGCUUGAGACUGGUAUCAUGGCGAGCCGGCAUAUGAGUUGCCACCGCCUGGGAGAGAGAGAGGGAGAGGGAGAGGGAGAGGGAGAGGGAGAGGGAGAGGGAGAGGGAGAGGGAGAGGGAGAGGGAGAGGGAGAGGGAGAGGGAGAGGGAGAGGGAGAGGGAGAGGGAGAGGGAGAGGGAGAGGGAGAGGGAGGGGGAGAGGGAGAGGGAGAGGGAGAGGGAGAAAUGCAACCCCUGGGGGCGAAUCCAGCAGGGAGGGGUGCUAGGCGCGGACUCUGUGCUCGUAAACUGACUGUGUGCACUGGCAUCGUCACGCGCUGCUUCCUCCACAGUAAUGCGUGCACAGCAGUAAGAGUAGGUGGCGCGGGUGUGCGUGUUUCAUUUGGUUCGAGCUUGACCCAAUUGACGUCAGCGUGUACCGGUAGCCUUUAUGCCAUACCAAGCGGCAUACCGUCUCAACUGCCGUUGCAUGCAUGGGGGAGCAGGGCGGCUACAAGCAAACCCCCCUCAAGUCCGUCCAUUCUCGCCAAGAACACACCAAUCUCACCACCACCACCCACCGCUAGCCAGCCACCAUCCACCACCCCUGCGACACAUGGACCCACGGCACACGCCGCCAGCCCUGCAACCGCUUCCUUCUAUCCCCCUUCAGCCGUCUUCAUCUGUCUGCAGCCAUCUUCAUCCUGGCAUCCAUUUGUCUACACCGUGUACGGGACUGCACCCCGGGCAGUUUUCUCCGAACCUGCAUCUGGAGUGAGCGCGCGAAAUGCCCUCCCAUGCAUCGAAACCUGGGGUAGACCUUGGGGCAGACACCACGUGCAACUGCUCCAAAACUACCGGUAUUGCGAUGGGCCAAAUAGCAGUGUGCCUUAUGUAUGUAUAAGACAGGCCUGAAGUGAGCAUUAAUAAGACUGGGUCCCAAGGCACGGUCCCAAGGUGUACAUGGAGCUCCUGUGAACUGAACACAAUGGUGACACCCCCGCUCCUCAGGCACUUCGCCCUCAACAAAGUGCGUAAAAAUUGUCACGCGCACUCAUGUCUUCACAUACAAUACAACCAUCUACGGAGCGCCCAGAGCAGCGGCCCUCGAUCCUCUGGACUACACCCCUUGAUCCCGACCGGCCGCCCCCUUUCGCUCGUACUGGCUCGUGAACUGCGUCAGCAGGUCCCUCUUGUAACCAAUGCAAUCUGGCAACGGCAGCAGAUGCCCGUGUGACCAGCCCCGAUCCCUCAUGCCACAACGACUUGGUCCACGGGCAAGACCGCAAUCCCUCACUUGUAUGCCGUUUUCGCUCACGCCAAGGACCAACAAGGCACAAGCUCAGUAACAAUGCACCACUCCCGCCACAUGCUCGAGGCAGCCCAGACAAGACAGCCCGAGGCAACCUCUUUAUGCCCACCGCCACGUAAAAAUAGUUGGUAGUAAUUAGCCGAGUACUGCUAUAUCGAUGGUCCCCUCCGGUUCGAUCUUCGUCUCAUACCCUAAUCAAUGGACAUGCACUGCUUGCAACCACAUGCGUCCCCCCUUCCCUUGAGUUGGGAGUUCCAUCUCCCUCGCUCUCCCCUCCAUCACUCCAAGGCCUUCCCGGUCGCUGUAAAGCCCCGUGCAACUUAGCUCGCAUACAUCCUGCAUGCUCACCUCACCUGUUGCCUGCACACGACGUUAUCUCCUCCACUCUAUCGUCAGAGCAGCCCGAAGGCCUUCAUCACGCACGAAGCACGUGGCGACACAAAUCGGCACGUGCGUGCCUUGACCGCCCUCAACCCACACAUCCAGCAGUUGCUUCACUCCAAUUGGCCUACCUACCCGCUGCACGGCCGACAGGCCGUCAAGUGGCCGCACAGCACCCCUGUGUCUACAACAUCAACAACAUCAAGGUGUCUCCCACUUCGCAACCCAGUAGCGCCUCUACUCACUGCAUGCCACGCGGCCGCCAGGCCGGCCCCAAAUGCAGAGGCCAGCGUAUGGAGCCGCAGCAGGCGCAGACCUGAUUCACUUGAGCGGUCAGGCAACACGCGUUGUGCUGCACUGAAGGCUUGAUAGGUCAGCCCAUACGAAGCAUUGCCACCAACACACAGGAGAUUCAUGCAACGCACAGGCAAAAAGGUUAACAAUGCAUCAUGCACCCACAUUGGAAGGCUCUUGGGGUAGGGUGAUCACACCCACGCAGCUUCCCCCGAGCUCAGUCGUUCUCUUGAUGCACGUGCUGCCCCUACUGCGGCCCCUUGCGCCGCAGCCCCGAAACAAUGGUGGCUUCGCUGCUUUCACUGCAGCCCGGCACUCCUGCGCCUGUCCUCCGCCUGCGAUCCGCCAGCGCCCGCCUCUGCUGGCAUCACACCGCCACAGCCGGAGGGCGCCACCACGGCAGUCGCUGCCACCUGCGCCUGCGGCUCAUCAUCAGCGGCGGCGGCGGCGGCGGUCGGCGACCUGGCGCGCUUGCCGCUGCUGGGUGCAGGGGGCUGGGGUGGGUGAGGCCCCGCGGCUGCUGUGAGGAUGGCCGCAAGCGAGGGCGCGGGCAGCGGCUCCCCAAGUGCCGCUGCAGAAGCAGCAUGGGUGCGCUGCACUGCUGCCGCACCCACAGGCACUGUGCCGGCAGCUGCCCCCACCGGCCCCAGUGAGUCGGCACUCAACAGUGUCCCCACAGAUGCGGCGCCGCCGUUCACUGGCUGCUGCUGGGUGCCGGAGGCGCUGGCGGUGGCCGAAGCCCCCCAGCCGGGGGCCGCGACAGCUGAGGCAUCGGCUCCCGCCUCCUCAGUGCCGAGCAAUGUGGCAGCCGUGGCGGCGUCUGGCAUGGCGGCCCCGGCACCGGUAUUGGCACUACUGGCACUGAUGACGCCUCCGCGGCCCAGCAGCAGCGCACCCAGUGUGUUGAAAGGCGUGAAGGCGGAUGGUGGCGCGGGCUGCGGCGGCGGCGGUGGCGGCUGACCUUUCGCAGCCGCAGCCAUUGCGCCCACUGCCGCAGCAGCCGGAUCGGCGUCACCAUUGGCCGUGUCGCUGCUGGCGUUUGCGCCUGAGUCCGCCACUGCCUGCUGCAGGAGCCCAUGCUGACUAACAGCAGCGGCAGCAGGUGCUGGUGCGGGUGCCGCCGGCGACUGUGAUUGGUGGUGCCGUUGGCGGCCGUUGUAAGGCCGGCUCCCAUCGGCUACGCCGCUCGCAUCAGCAUAGGUGGAAGGCGGCGGCAUAGCGCCAUUGCCUCCCCCACCUCCGACGCCCGCGCCAUCCCCCCGCGCGGUGCCAGCCGCUUGAGUGCUGCCGCCGGUGCCACUGUUGCUGCUACUGCCGCCGCUGCCAUUGCCUGCUGGGAGCAGGUGCGACGAUGACUGCAGCAGCGCCACGGCCGCCGCCGCCGCCCGCAGGUGCGGUUGCGCUGCAGAGCCAGACGGCGGGGGCAUGUGGACGGAUGCAGCAGCGGAGGAUGCAGCGCCGGGUGGCGCAGGGGCCUGCUGCUGCAGAAAGCACAGCAGGCGGGCUAGGUGCUGAUGCUGCUGAUCGUGUUCAGCCUGCGGUAGCGAUGGCGGUGGCUGCGGCCUCCCGUGCGCUGCUGCCCCUGAGCCGCUGCCGCCGCCGGGACCAGCCGCCGCAGCUGCUCCAACAGCGGAUGAUGCAUCCGUCAAUGCCCCCAGCAGGCGAGGUUCCGGCAGCGCAGCCGCCGCCACAGCGGCAGCGGCAGCGGCUUCCACCUCAGUGCCUUCGCCCUCGCCGGCAGCCGCUCCAGCCCGGUGGUCGGCAGGCCCCUGCCCCACCUGCAUCUGCUGGCUCUGCUGCUGAGCCCGGCGCAGCAGCAGCAGCAGCAGUUGUGCCUCGGCCGCAGCCGCCGUCGACAUGGGCCGCGGCUGCAGCGCGCCCGCCGCCGCCGCGUGCGCGUGUGCCGCGGGGAGAGCCUGCGGCAGUGCAUGUAAGCAGGUAGCGAUGUAGCGUGUCGUUGAAGCAGUCUCGCGUCACCCUAGUGCAAUCUCCUUGUGGCACUUGACAGGCGUAGAGGUGCAGGCAAGCCUUCUGCCACUAGCAAGAAAGCCUCCGCCACCACGUCCGCACCUCGGCUGUGUCAGGCGCCUGCUGCGUGUGCGGGUUGUGUUGUAGCUGCGGCUGCGAAUGCUGCUGCGCCUGCCUGGCUACGUAGUUCUCUAGCCUGCGUGUGUAUCUGUGCAUGUCUGCGGCAGGCAUGGGAAGCAGGCAGUGGCAGGCGACAUGAGCGGCAUGGGGCAUUCGCCAUCUAAGGGCUUGAUGCCUGGCCCUCCCCCGUCUCCACGCCGAUCCGAACUCCUCAAUCCGGUAUGCGGCAUCCCCCCCCUCGUGUUACAUCGGCACCUGAUAAAUCGACCCAGCAGCCGCCUAGCCGGGCAAGCAGUACGUCCGGCACCAGCGCAGUCGCACCGCUCUCUUCCCAUUCCGGCCCAUGCUUCAACCCCGGCAGCCCCCAGCCCAGCCCCCCCCAAAGGCACCGUCCAGCCGGCGCACACGCACCCGUGCACUGCUCCACUAGCUGUCCGAUGAGGAACUUGAUGUUGAAUGUGCCGUACUCGCCGCUGCCCGCCAGGAAGGCCAGGCGGUUGGCGGCGGAGCGGUUGAUCUCGGCGAAUCUGUGGGUUGAUCGUUGGAUGGGGCAAGGAGGGUCAUUGAGGACUGGGCUGGGACUGGGCUGUCAUUCUCAAGCCAGAAGGGAGGGAUGUCGUUUGCGCCUUGGCAAUGGGCUGGCCACUUGUUGAGGCGAACAGAACGUGGCCGCCCCAGAACCGCAUCGAGUGUCACACACGUCGGUCGGCGCGCCGUGGCAAUGCCCCAGUCCCACCCUGUCCCACAGCAAAGUCCCACGACGCCGCUACCUGCAUCGGAAUACGCUGAUGUCGCUGAGCUCAAUGUCAGCAGCAGACAUGAUGCGCUCCCAGUAGCCGCAUUCGGUGAGCGCGUCAAGGCCAGCCAAUGUUCCCGGCGGCAAAUUCCUGUGUGCGGGGGUUGCGCGGUCGGCACUCAGGUCGGUACCACGGCGGCGUGCAGGCCGCAGAGCGCUAGCACUUGUUCAAGCCGGCAGCAUUUAGCUUAGACAGUCCCGCCGGCUGGCGCUUGCGCGCGGCCACUGCUUCAAUGCCUGGCGCGCCAUUGUCUGUCUCACCGGAAUGUGCGCUCCUCCCUUCCCAUUUUCAUCAGAGCCCGCUUGUCACUCAGAGCGCUGGGCUGCUGUCCAUGUGGGCAGGUGCGCGGCGCUAUUUGGCCUCGCGGCGGUUGCCUGAAAACCGGUUGGGCGUCCGUUGCUCAUUCACGCGCACGCUAUCGUCAUUCGUGAGGCGUUGUCUACUCCAGAGUAAUGCCGCAGCAGCAAGGCCAGUAGGCGCGGGGCACACGCACGGGUCCUGCAGAAAAAGCGCUCACAGCCCGUGUUCCACCUGCCCAUGUGGACGCGUUUGCAAAAGGCUUUAGGGCUUUGCCAGGGCUCUUCUCCGCUGCGCAUCCGCACAUCCAAUUUUGAUGCGGCGGAAAGGGGCGGAACCAAGGGCCCCCGCCCCGCGAGGUCGCUGCACAAAACGGCCCAGAACAAAGUCUUCUCCUUGGUUAUCAAGACACAUUGCCUACGGUUGUUGCUAGUACUGCCUUUUUGCUGGCUGGAGUGAGCAAGAGAACAGGUUCUUCCAGUCUAUCUGGCAGUUGACUUCGUCAACGCUCAAAGCUACGUGCAAAGCACGUCCAAGCUAUGACAUGUCGACACCGAUGUGUGAAGAGAACCAAAAUACCCCGCUGAAUGACGUCCGCCCAAAGUGGCACCGGGACAUGCGCACACGGCGCCAAUCGGAGGGCAUCACGGGGCUGUACCGCGACGACCCCGCGGGAGAGCAGUUCCCGGAGAUGGAGGCGCUGCUGGAGGUGGGACAGGCUGGGGGUUGGGGAUGGGAGGGCUGGGGGAAAGGCGCGGGCGGGCCUCAGGGGCUAGAUGGACCGCAAGGGUCGUGCGAAGGCGCAUGUCGGGUGAGUACCGUACGGGAGCCGGACAGGUUGGAGGGGGAGGGGGUUGUAGAUACCAGCCCAACCUAAACCGAACCAGGGAAAUGUAUGGGAGCUGGCUGCACAGGGCACGCUCAGGAUGGAGGGGUGCUCGGCGCGUGUGGCGUGGCAGGGAUGUGUCAAAGGCGACUGCCGGAAGCCCCUCUGAAUGACGUCCGCCCAAAGUACAGCCGCAUUAGCUUCUGGAUUGCUGAUAACAACCCCAUAAAGGAGUGAUCCUUACAUCGCGCACUAACGAGCUCGAGGCCUCGAGCACCAGCUUCACAAACUUCUCACACAAUCAAUACUUCUGAUCACAACUGCAAUUUGCGGAGUCCCAAAUUUUCGCUUGCAGCAGAGAUAUAGGCAAACGUUACAAUAUCGUUUGUACACGGUACCAUUGUACCCGCGCCCAACCCGAGGGACCCGAGGGUCAGUGUUGCUCAUGGCCCGCGGGCGCCGUCCAGGCCAGCGCGCACACAAGAGCGGACAGCGCUGGCAUGUGGGUGUGCGGUGGUCGGGGCUGCUUGGGGCCCUGCUGGCAGUGGUGACGGCGGCGCCGCUGGCCGUCGCUGGAAGCAGGGGGCCCGGUAAGCGGUCGCACACUCCCGCGAUCUAUGGCUGCGAUCUCCCCGAGUGUUGAUAGUCGCUGGACAACAUCGGUGGGCACAGGCCGCUGUAUUAGUGUGGGCAAUCUGGCGCUCCAAGCUCUGGGCAACCGUCCAGCCGGGGUGGGGUUGCUACCGGCCGAUGCUCGCACACGCACCCGCCCGCGUGCAGACCCCGCCCCCGACGCGUUUGUCACGCGCUCCGGCUCCCGGCUGACACUGGCGGGCCGGCCCUACCACUUCCUGGGCUUCAACGCCUACCAGGUGGCGGCGGGGCGGGGGGAGUGGGCUGGCGGGGUCAGGGGCGGCGGUGGGCAUGAUGAAGGGCGGGGAGGGCAGGUGGGGCCAGCGAGGGGUGGGGAGGGGCGGACGAGGCAGGAAGGAAGGUCAGGCGAGGGCGACGGGCCUCACAUGCAAACGGAAUAUGCUGGGUGCAAGGCUGGGGUUGAAUGCCUGACGUUGUGACGUAAAGCCCGCCGCCAUGCCUCGCCCCGCACGCUCGCCCCCUCCCGCCAGCUGACGGCCCAGGCGGCGGGCGAGAAUGACGACGGCUGGCCGGGCGACGGCGGUGUGGUCGCGGCGGGCCGGGCGCGAGUGGAGCAGCUGCUGGGGCUGGCAGCGGUGGGUGACGUGGAUGGCUGGGGGUCGCGGGGGUGCGGCGUCCUGGUGGCUGCAGGCGCCCCCCGCAUGGCAGGGUCUGGACUGCAAGCCACGUACGAGACCCUCAGGCAGAAGGCAGGAGCAUAGUUGAAAGGGCAUGUCAGUGGGCAGAAGCCUGAUCUGCACCCGUGCACUACCCGCACUUCUCUUGCUCCGCUGCCCGUACUGACCGCUUGCUGGCCCUGCCUGCUGCCCCCCCCCCUGCGCCCUCCCUGCUGCCUGUAGCGCCUGGGACUGCGGGUGGUACGCACCUGGGCCUUCAACCACCGCCUGCCCGCACUCAACCCCGCCUGGCUGCAGCAUGAGAAGCCCUACGACAGCGGCAGUAGCAGUAGCAACUCCAGCAGCAGUAGCAGCACAACCAGCUACCUCGCUGGCUGCCUGACUGACACCAACGGCGGGUCGGCCUGCGCCGCCGGUCUGCCGCUGGUGUGGGAUGAGGCGGAGUUCGUGGGGCUGGACUGGGUGGUGGCGCGGGCGGAGGCGGCGGGCGUGAGGCUGGUGCUGGCGCUGGGUAACUUGUGGCCCGCGUGUGAGUGGGCAGUGUGCAGGUGGUGGGAGGCGGAGGCAGGCGGGCAGAGGGGGUUGGGGACCAGGGGGGUUGGGGGUCGGGUGGGGUGGGCAGGCAGGCAGGUGAGUGAGCCCUGCCACGCACCCUGUGGGAUGAAGGAUGCGAGCAUACACGCACGUGGCGUUUCCUUUUCUAACACGUGGCGGCGCAGCUAACUAUUAUCCUGUGUAUCUAGCAGGGAGGCUGGAAGGCUGGGGCACAUGCACGUCCACGGUCCACCGCCUCACCUCCCGCCUCACCUCCCGCCUCACCUCCCGCCUGCCACCUGCCACAGAUGUGGGGCCGGAGCGGUUCCUGCGCGCGGCGCAGCUGCUGAGCCCGCCGGGGGCGACUGCAGGUGGAGGCGCAGCGGAUGCAGCACCUACUGCCACGGGCCUGAGCGGCAGGGCCCUAGGUGAGAGCCUGGGGCCGGCGUGGACUGCAGUGUGCUUGAUGAGGUGCACGUGCGUGUAUUGGGUUGCGCUCUGUACCCCCACAGUUGCAUCCUACACUUACCCGCCGGACCAACUUCGUAUGCUCUGCACGCCUGAUCUCUGUGCCGCGGCUGCCUGCGGCUCCUGUCCUGUCCUGGCCUGUCCCGGCCCACCACUGGCGGCAUCAUGCAGUGUCGGCUGACGCGGAUGCGCUGCAGCGGGCCGCCGGCGGACCCACCAGCGUGGCCGACUUCUACUGCCACCCGGGCGCGCGGCGGCUGUACGCGGAGCACAUACGCCGGGUGACGGGCCGCGUCAACACCUUCACCGGCCGGAGGUACAGGUGGGCGCACGGGGUAGGAGGUGUGGUGUGGGUGGGAGGUGUGGCGUGGGUGGGAGGUGUGGUGUGAGCGAGUAGUGCUGUGGACGUGAGUGGUGGAGUGUGCGUAGCCGCGGGCUGGGGUGUGUUGGCAGCAGCUGGCGGCGACCGUACGUGCUGUGCCGUGUGCCGUGAGGCGGCAUGUCCGUGUGGCACCAGGGAUGUCCGUGUGACAUGAGGACCGCAGGAGCGGCUUUAGUUCUGUGUCAGCAAUAAUGGUACUCCCUGCGUGACAGGGCGUGUUCUGAGGAGGUAGGGGCAUGAGGGCAUGAGAGACCACCACAUUCGUGGUCUCCGCCACUGGGCCCCUGUCCCCCAAUGCGCCACUGCCACUUGAGCUCGCCAACUGCUGGUGGAGGUGCCAGUCACGGCUACAGCCUUUGGAUCACAUUGCUGCCGCCUCUCCUGCUCACUACUACUGCCUCCUCUUGCUGCCUGCUACUGCCACUCAAACGCUGCCUGCUUCUGCUGUUGCUACUGCUACUGCUCCCUGCAGCGACACGCCCGCCAUCAUGAUGUGGGACGUCAUGAACGAGCCGCGCUGCCCGGGUGGGUGGGUGUGCUGCGGCCCCGGCUGGCUGCAGCUGUUGUUCACGUGUGUACGACCAUGAGCACCCCACAGAACCCUUUGCUACGUGCGUGCCAUACACACGUAUCCCGUGCGUGCAUGCCCUUCCAGUUCUUCUUUUCAAACAUAACAGGUCCCACAGCUAGGUCCACACGGCACUCUGUCUUGUUGCCUGGUGCCGCACCCACUCGACCCCGUCACCACCUAACCCACCAUGCCCCUCCUGCCCCCCGCCUACAUGCCCUCCCCCUUACCUGCCCCCCUCCCUCCCCUCCCCGCCCGCCCAGGCUGCACGCCCGACCAGCUGUCCUGCUACAGCCAGUGGAUGCGCCUCAUGUCCGACACCGCCGCCGCCGCCGCCCCCCGCCAGCUGCGGGCCAUGGGCACAGAGGGCUUCUUCUCCGAAGCACCCCACUCCGAGCUGGCGGCGGCGGCGGGCGUGAGCCAACCCCUGGAGGCGCACAACCCGGGUGCGUGCGGGUGUGUAGGUGUGCGAGUGUGAAGCGCUGGAGGGAGAGGGGGGUAAUGGGCUGGGGGUGGAGGACCAGGGGGUUCAAGGGCAGGGGCAAGAUGACGAAGCCAAGUGGUCCUGGCCGCCUGGCGAGUGGCUUGUGAGCCUGGGGCCUGGGACUGUUGCUGCCGCCGCCCAGAAGUACGGUACGCACUGACGCCCUCGCCUGCCUGCGCGGCCCGCCGCCCCACAGGUGUGGGCAGUGUGUGUGAGGGCGAGGACUGGGUGUCGGCCACACAGUUGCCGGGCAUUGACGUGGGCAUACUACACACCUACUGGAGGCAGACCGAGGUCCGAGGGCAUGGGGACGGGGGGCGGGAGGAGCGGGAUGGGGCUUAGGGGAGGGUGCUGGCAUAUCCUAACGCUGCUGCUGCUUGUGGCUUUAGCCGCAGCUGAUGCUACUUUUUGUUUCUGCGUGUGAGUACAGGGUGUGCCCGACUGCGGCUGGGCCCGCAUGACCUGGUGGCAGUACCUGCCCUGGUACCUGCACUACACGGUGGGUGGCGGCAGUGGCGGCGGUGGGCGGGUGGCGGUGGCGGUGGGCGGGUGGCGGCACGGUGGGCGGGAGGUAGUGGAUGGGCGGUUCCGGAGCCGGCAGUAAUAACUCCACACCCUGAGCAUUCGACCCCCAGCCCACACCCCUCACCCGCGGACCCCUCACCCUCGGACCCCGCCCCCGGCCCCGGCCCCUCAGGCUGUGCACGUGCGGCUGGCUGGAGCCCUGGGUCGGCCGCUGGUGCAGGAGGAGUUCAACAUCAUCAGCAGGUGGGAGGGGGAGGUGUGUGGGGGGUGGAGGAAGUUGACAGUGCGGGGGGGGGAUGGCGUGCGGGUGACAAGCUGUACUUGGCUGCACGUUGAGUCUUCUCUCGUUGGCUGCACGUUGAGUCUUCUCUCGUUGGCUGCACGUUGGCUGCACGUUGAGUCUUCUCUCCGUGCACACACGAUCAUUGUCGCACACGAUGCUGGAGCCUGCGGCCGGUUUUUGGUCUGUGUUCUUAUUCACCGCGUCAUUGCCUGCCAGCAGUGUGUGCACUCAAAAACCAUGAAGAUGUUUACCCUUCCUGAUGGUGUUCUCGUGACCCCAACACCUCCCGCGCCCGCAGCCGCUUCAUGCCCCAGCAGCGCUCCCAGCUGUUUGCGGCGGCUCUGUGGCAGCUGGUGUCCAGUGCGGAGGCGGGCGGGCCGUUCGCGGGCGCCCUGUGGUGGGGCGCGGCGCUGGUGGGCGCGGGCUGGGACGACGGCUACACCCUGUUCCUGGACGCGGGGGGCGCCGCUGCGGGGCCCACCCCUGGACUGGGUGCCUCGCUGUUCACCCUGUCCGGCCUGAACGCGCUGCUGGCUGACCCCGCCUCGCCCAGCGCCCAGGCGGCGGCGGCGAUGCAGCAGGCCAUUGCGGAGCACCCGCCGUCAGCCUGUGACCCCGUGCCGGGGGCGCCACCGGGUGGGGGUGGGGGAAAUGCCUCGACUAGCAGUGUGGUGGUGAAGAGGGACGAUGGCGGGGUGGAGGUGGUGGUGGCGGCCUCGGCGGUGAAGGUGACGGCGGCGGCGGGUCCGCCUGCCAGCAGUGCCGCAGCCAGCACCAACACCAACAAGUCACCAGUGGGAUCCGUGACGGCCCAGCUAGCGAGCACCACCGCCGAAACCGCAGCUGCUGAUGUUGCGGCGAAAGCGGAUGUCACGCCCGGCACCCCGGCAGCCGUAACCGUACUCUCGCCCUCAAUAUCAUAUCAGGUAUACUCAAGUAGCAGCCGUAGCAUCAGCAGCAACAGUAGCAGGGACGCAGGCGGUGGCCACGCUGGCGCAUCAAGCCCGAGGCGUCUGCUGCGUCAGCUGGCCGCGGCUGCAGACACGCAGCACGCUCGCGGGGUCCGGGACGGCGGCGGCGGUGCGCCACCCAGCGCCACCCGCAGCGGGCGGAGGGGUCGGGCGCUGCAGCAGGUGGAGGUGCUGGACGCCUUCCGCAGGUGCGGGUGCGUGUGAGUGUGCGUGCGCGUGCGUGUGCGUGCGUGUGUGUGUGUGUGUGUGUGUGUGUGUGUGUGUGUGUGUGUGUGUGCCGGCGUGUGUGCUAGUGUGUGUGGGUCUGUGUGUGUACAUGGGGUGGAAGGUUGGCAGCUUGUGUUUACACUGCUGGCCGCCGUGCCACCCGAAGGCCUGACCCUCUCGCUGCUGUGCCUGCAGCAGUAGUGUCUAGAUAGCUGACUCUCACGAAAUAAACCCCAACCUGUGCCGCUGCGCCCACUCAUGCCGCUACUACCCCCACAGAGGCGGGCCCCGGCAGCAGUGCGCCGAGGCACGGGCCAGUGCGGGCCGUCAGCCCGCGUCGCCGCCCGCCCUGGGCUCCGACCCGGUCGGCACCCUGACGCCGCCGCUGCCUCAGCUGGCGGCGCUGCUGGCGGCGGCGGAGGGGCGGCAGCUGCUGGAGGUCAUUGCGGCGGCGGCGGAGCGGAUCAACGCGCUGUCGUCGGGGUGAUGGGGAGAUGCGGGGUGGGGGUGGGGGUGGAAGUGCUGGGCAUAGGCGGCUGCGUGAGAUGCAAGCAACAUAGCAUGAGCACAGGCCUGCCUGCAGCGAUCGUGUACUUCGAGUCAGGCAUGCGUGUAAUGAGUGCAACUGUGAUGCAUACACGUGCGUUUGAUCAUUCUUACAUGCGGUUAUACUGCGCGUUUGCAUGUGCUAUGGCAAGUCUGUGAACCACGAGGGUGCGGGGUAUCGAGACCAAACCCGGUGGCGGUGGCGCACCGAGGAAUGAGCUGCCGGGCGUGUCAAGUAAGUGGCCCUGUUCAGUCGACGGCAGCGGAGUGUCAGAGAGGUUUGAGAAUUACAGCAAACAUGGGAGGAGGCCAUUGUUGGGUUAUGAGGUUAUUUAGUGCUGCGUUCCCUAGUCGGUGGCUCCGUGGCUGUUAUGGGUCAGUUUGUGUGGACCGUACGCGCACAGCCGCAGAAGCGUUGACCCAGGGGGGAUUAUGUGCCCGGGCCCGAUGAUAAGUCCCAUCAUCAUCAUCAGAAAUUCCAAAAUCUUACCCCAUGCUCAAAACCGUAGAGCUCUAGGAGAGCAUUACGCACGUACCUUUAAUUUUGUCAGGGCUGGUCUGGUGAAGAAGUUCUGGGCCGCCAAGUUGGGGUGUCGGUCGUCGUCCUGGGGGUCCACCGGCGCUUUCGGGAGCCCAUCCUGGCGGAUAUCGGGAAGCGCCCCACAAGCAGAACUAGGGGCCAAGCGCAGCACCACAAGGCUCAGAUAUGCCCGUUAUGCCGUGAUAAGCACAAACAAAGCGUGGGAGGGCUAAGUUGCGCGUCCUGGCGUGGACAUGUCGGGCACCUGCCCCCACACUAGACACAAGCGCACUGACAUUGCGGGGCUCUCAAGCGCUUGUGCGCAUGAAUCCAUGUUUAACAAGGCUGACGAUACAGGCUGUCCAUACAUCACACGGCUGAGCGUUAAACGGGGGUGGGCUGGGUCGAGGGGACUUCGAUACAGAAUGCCGCGUGUGACCGAAGCCUCAGAAGGGGACCGCCGGUGUCACAGUGUGAUAGCGCUCGUCAAGAGGAGUCGAUUGGCAUAAGUUUGGUAUUAAAUGGAGGGGUUCUAACCCCUAAUUAACAUGGUUUUGUCGGUGGGGGUUGGUCGUCCCCUCCAGGGGGGUCCUGGGUGAUUUCGGGGUCUGGCGCCAGGCUGGCGCUUCGUUUCCUACCACCCCCCUCGGCCCCCUGUUUGGCCUUACCCAUUGUAAAGAGAGAUAGCGACGGGUGAUCGCCUGUGCUAGGCGGAAUCCCCGUACACUGUUCAGGUCGGAACGCGUUGGCAAAAGCCCGUACGCCUGUGAGCCCUUGCCAGCCUGCGUUUCCCAGCUCCGGUGCAAAAGUACCUACCGGGGAAUGCACGGGAGCAGAGUCCAAGGGUACGGUGGGAGGCAGUAAUGAUUUCCCCGGGAGGGGCAGGGGCUGCGCGCGACUUCGUGUUUUGGGGUUGGGAGGGGAGGGAAGGGGAGCAAGGGUUGCGAGGGGGACUGAGGGGUGCGCAGGCACGGGCAGGGUUGACGUGCGGAUGUUGCUUGAUGCAGCUCAGCGACCAGGUCCGCUGCGCCAAAAACCUGGGCGCGACACUUCAAAUAAUGCAUAGCAUAUUAAGUAGCGCUUCAUCCUAGUUGCAAGAGGUCCUCGAGCUCUGCCGAAACCACGCACGCAUGCGCUGAACUGAACACGGCUUGUACACAACGUCGCUGCCAUGGCUCUCGCUUCUCGCAAUGUACUCGCACGUCGUGCUGGGUUGAGCGCUGCUCGUCGCCCAGCGCGCUCCACGGUCGCGUGCUUGGCAUCUGGGCGCGUUAAACAAAUUCCUAUUUUCCCCCUGAAUGUCGUGGCGCUACCAGCGGCAACGGUGCCCCUCAUGAUCUUUGAGGCCAGGGUAGGGUUCGGUCGUCUGCCACCACCCGUCGCGACUGGCCACGCUUGCGCGCGCUUCCAACGCGGGCUGCCCGGCCUUGCGUAACCAGCACAAACGUUCCUCUAUUUGUCUCAUUGCCGCAGUACCGAGUGCUCUUCAACACGAUUCUUGCGGGCGAGGCUGGGUGAGCGAAACGCAUGCGUGUGCAGCACGCUUAGUCCGGGUAGCCUUUGCACACUUUAUGUUUUCUUCCGUGUACGUGAAGACGCUGAAAUAAAACAGACGUCAUUCCACAACAGCCGUGGGUCCAAGCCUGCCUGGGGGGCAGCGACGGGGGAGGGUUGGGCCACUCGCGGGGUGGUGGGACCCCGGGACCGGUGAUGCGUGGGUGCACGGGUUGGUGGCUGGCUGGCCCGGCCGGCCCUUCGUCAGCGCGGCCAUGCGUGUCAUGCUGCAGUACGGGGCACAUGCGAAUUUGGAGCCCGCGCACAGCGCUGUAUGUAGCACAGGUUGCGUGUCUGCCCUCUCCACGCCCAUCAAUCACACCUGUGCCACAUCAUCGCCCUGAACCUUCCCUUCCCCAUCCUCCAUUCUCCCUUCCCCUACUAUACACACUGCCGCUACCUCGACGAGCAGCGUGGAGGAGGGUCUGGUUCAGGCUGACUCGCCCUUCUGCGGCAGCCGCAAGUUCGGCAUGUGCUAUGUGGACGGGCGGGCGGACCCCAGCGGCGCCUCGCGCAUGGCCUCCAUCGGCACAGUGCUGGAGGUGGUGGAUUUCGCACACGUGCAGGUGGGGGCAGGGAGGGAGGGGCAGGUGGGGAGGGGAGGGGGGAGGGCGAGGGGGGAGGGGGGCGGGCGAGGGGGGAGGGGUGGAGUGGGCGGGGCUGGGAGGGGGGAGAGAGAGGUGUAUGUACGCAGUGGUGGAAGUACUGGCGGAUGUGUGAGCGGGGGCAUGAGGCAUUGAGCCGGACAUGGAGGCUAUUAAGGCUGGGAUGGAGGAGGGUGCGUAUGGGUGAGAAGCAGACGUUGAGGUAGCGUGUGUGCGCUGCAGCUACGGAGCUAGCUGGCGCGAGGGGUGCUUACAGGGGCAGGAGGCGGAAGGGAAGGGGUUCAUUCUAUCAUUUUCAAGUACAGGUGGGGCAGGGGAUCGGGCCUGCCGGGUCACACAGGUUUGGCUGCAGCUACAGGUGUAAGAACGCGUGCUGUUCGGCAGCUGCCGCCUGCUGCUCAGCGGAGGCAGGCGGCAGUGGGUACCAUGUGCGGCGGCAUGUGUUGACUCGCGCGGGGGCCUGCACAGGCUCAAGGGGUUGCAGGGGCGGUCCAUGUCAGCUGAGCUCAGGCCAUGCCCCCCUGGGUCCCGGAAUCGCGGGCCAUGCAUUGGCUAUCCACCACACACAUCCUCACACCCACACACAACACAACACAAGCCAUAUCAACAUUGAGUUUGCCAAACACACCCCUCCACGCACGCGCCCUACCCGCGCAGGACGGGCGCAUCUUCCUGACCACCAAGGGCCGCGAGCGCUUCCGUGUGCGCUCCAUUGUGCGCGAGCGGCCCAUCAUGAUCGCCGAGGUGGAGGAGCUGGAGGAGGACGCCGACGACGGCGAGGAGGUGGGAGGGCGGGGGGCAAGCACUGGGGGGCAAGGGAUAGGGGGCCGGGGGGGGGGGGGGGCUGCGGUAUCGGAGGUACCGUAUCAUCGGAUCAUGAGGUUGCGUGCAGCGUCCACCUGCGGGGCGGCAUCGCCACUGCUUGUCUCCCACACUUCAUGACUGCACCCGCACCGUCCCCACCUGGCAGCAGCCCUGUGGCACCAGCACUGGCACCUGACACCCGACCUGACUGCCGCUUACCCGCCUCCCUCUGACUCCCCCUCGCCCUCGCCCCCCCCCUCCCCCUGUCCGGUCUGCAGGUGACGGUCCUGGCCAAGGAGGUGUCGGACCUGCUUCGCGCCACCAUCAAACUCAACGUCAAACUCAACAACGUGGAGGCAUCAGACGACCAGGUGGGAGUGGUGGGUGGGGGUGGGUGGGGGUAGGGGUGGCGGUGGCGUAGCCGUUCAUGAAGAACGAGGUGAUUGAUUUGCCGACGUGCGAUGGGAACAGCGUGUACUACUCCGUUGGUGCCAGCAUAUAGAAUCGCCGAGACUGCUUCGUCGCCUGUUUGCUGGUUAUUGCUGGCCUAAAGAGGCUUUGGUCGUAAGAGAGGUAGGAAGGAGAGUGAUGAGUCGAGCCGGGGAUGGAGGGGGAUUACAUGCCCGAGCACACGGAGUAGGUGCCAAGGUGCCGUUUCGUCGUCGCCAGUUGCCGUGGAUCUCGGUUAUGUGGUUGGUGUCGCCUGGUCCAGUCCCUGUGCGUGCCUGACACAGUACCGCGCCUGCCCCCCCCCCCAGCUGGAGCCUGAGGAGCUGGCCGGCCUGCGCCCCCGCGACCUGUCGUACUGGGUGGCGUCCUUCUUUGCCGACAUCAAGGUCCUGCAGCAGAGCGUGAGUGGCGCUGGCUGCGUGUGUGUGUGUGGGGGGGGGGACAACGGGGCGGGACAACAGGGGUGAGCGUAGUGGUGGGGGAAGCGAGGUAGGGGAGGUGGUUGGAGGUGUGGUUAAAGGACGGGGGACGGGCAAGCUGCAGCGGCUGCACUGAAGGGUUUGGCGCGGCUCCGCAGAACAUGCACUGCACCCCAUGUCCUGUGGCCAAGCCCUGUGACGGCCCGCCUCGCCCGCCUCCCCCGCCUGACCCGCCCCCGUACUCAGCUGCUGGAGGAGGACACCACCACCAAGCGCCUCACGCGGGAGAAGGUGCGCAGGGCCGUGUGGGCCGUGUGGGGCGGGGCUGGGGCCCUGGGAGAAGGGGGCCGGGGGUGGGGGGCCGGGCCGGGAGGAGCGGCUAUGGCCCUUGUCUCGCAGUGGGGCCGUGGCGACAGCAGGCGUGUCCGCCCAUCACACUCGGGUGUUUCCUGUCAUUACAGGAGAUCCUGUCUGACACGGUCAAGCACUACAGCGCCGUGCUGGCGCUCAAGAGCCUGGAGCUGUCCUCGGCAGCCAGCAAGGAGGGCAAGGGGGGAGACGCGGCGGGGGACAAGAAGGACUGAAGGAGGGAGGGAGACACACGCUGAGAGGCUGAGAUAGAGAGCGGGAGGCGGGCGCACAGGCGAGCUGCAGGCGCUGGAAGUGUGGCAUUUUGAGACGGGUCAUCAAAAGUUUUGGUGCAUCGAUGGCUUGUUGUGGGCUGUGGAUUGCAGCUGCUGUGGGCUGUGGUGCGCGACUGCUGCGGCAAGAGGACGAGAGGCGAGGGCUGCGCAGGCGUGUGAAAGAAGUGGCACACCUGUGUGCUUGUUGGUUGGGGUGGAACUGCACUGCGGCUAUAGGCGGCCCCCACAGCCAUAAUGCAUCCAAGCGGCAGCGGACGAGUGUGAGGGGCGAGUGCAGGUGUGAGACCACGCGAUACAGGGUAGCAACUACGCGGGAGCAGACCUUACUGGCUUUCUCAGCUUUCAACACGGUGUGUGCCGCACGUCGCCGAUUGUACAAAUAGAUGGGCGGCCUCGCGGCCGGCUGAAAUGGAAGGAAUGCAACAUGCGAGGGAAUGAGCAGAUUUGCCAGGCGUUGGUCUGUGUGCUGUACCGUAUGCGGGUCUGUUACGUAGUGUUGUGUGCAGGCGAUGUCUGGGGGACCAGGCGCUUGGCCACCGUUCCGGAUACGGCAAAGCCUGGCAACCACAAGAAGAGUCAUGGUGGCAACCGCCCAUGGUGGCAACCGCCCACCCGAGUGGUCCCAUAACGACACCCGUUGUCAAUCACCUGGCCUCUGUGGCUGUGGGCAUCUGCGGCUGUGGGGCUGUACCUAUGGGCCUGAACUGCUGCAUGCCGUGCUGUCCCGCCACAGGGGAUGGCGCCGGGCACAGCGCACAUCGACACAUGAUUGCUCACAUUUGUCAGUCAAGUAGAAUACAGCAAUGCAUUGUACCUUCCCACAGUCACAGAACUCAUCACUGCAAGGGACAGCCCGGGUACACCCUGCUGCUGACCAGCUGCGGCUGCUGCAGCACCGUUUAGUCGAAGCGAACCAAUCACCCCUGCGUCUCAACUUCAGCUCCUUUGCGCCUAGGCAGCGAAGGCCGGCAGUGAAGGCAGUGCUGGCAAUUACUCCUGCCGCCCGAACCCGCUACCACACACCCUGCAAAAACGUGGCGCCCGGUCCCCCCCAACCGAUCGCCAACGCAGCUCAACACAACAUGCCCGCACCGUCGUCGCCAACUCCAACCCUCCCCCUUUGAACCUCAGCGGCGGUUCCAUGACUAGGGCUGAGGUGGCUCAGCGUGUGGGCGCCUGUGGCUGCUGCCGCCGCCGCCGCCGCCGCCUGCGCCCUGUCCCGGCCCCGCCGCUCACUUGCGGCGCAUGCCGUUGACCACCAGGGCCACAACGAUGGUCGCCUGAGAGGGGGGAGGGGGAGGGAGGCAUACGCCUCAGUGUGGGCAGGCGACAAGCUGCGACUGGGCCACCACCGUUGCAAGGCGCCCGGUGUUAGGUACUCGUUGUGGCUCUUCCUGCCAGACAGCAACCCUCCCAUUGAUCAGCUGCGCAUCGCCUCAGCUGUCCCUACCCUACCCACCUCUAAAUCCCGGGACCGGCAGCAACAGUCCGUACGACAAAGCCGAAGACAUCCCCCCGACACCCACCAGCAACACGUGGGUGGGCUGCGGCGUGAACUUGUGCAGGGGGCCGUAGAUGCGGGUGAGGUAGUCGACCAGCGUGGUCACCACUGUAGGCGGCGGGCAGGGAAGGAGGGGGGAUGCGACGCCACAAGCUUCAGGGCUAAGCGCUGACUUAUCGCAGCGCAGUGGAGAUAAGUCUAGUUAUUGCGACGUAACUGCCGUGUUGCGUUAAAGUCACGCACGGCGCAGGACGCUCGGGUACGUGCCUGCAUGGGGCCGGACCGAGCUGGGUCUUGUAGGCGUCAGGAGCACACGGCGCUUUAUCUGCCGUUGUGCUUCUGUACUGUAUUUUCGGAUCGUCCCUCUGCCGGGACGGUGACAACCCACCCGCCCCCCCUGGCGCCGCCGCGGAUUAAUGUGGUGGUACCCGUGGGCGCCGCGGCGUGGUUGUCUGGACUCUGCCGUUAGGCACUACGUGCAUGCGACACACCCAGUACUGGCAGCACUUUCGGCCACUAGUGCAACCUCAACACGGGCGGGCUUGGGCGGGCACGGCGGACUUGGUGGGGUUAUCGGGAACUGUACGGCCCGAGCUAGGAGGCCGUAGUAUGAAGGCCGCUGCGGGCCGCAAGUGAGUACGAGGCUGCUUAAGCAAGGCAUGAGUGGAGGCUAUUGUCGGUUUUGAGAGAUUGGGAUUGUCGUUUGGGGCCGUGGCGGUUUGUAACGCUACACGGCAGUAAGGAGUCAAUAAGCUACGCUGAGCCGCCGCAGCGAAGCGUGUGUGUAUGGCCGCAUGGGUGAGCAGCCACACCUUGCCGUAGUACACCAUUGCGCGUGGGACCCGCCACCUGCCUCAGUAUACCUAUCGAGUAUAUCUGACCUGGCUCGAUGGGCGCAAGCUGCUUCAUCUGGCGGACCUUGACCGCCCCCUGGGAAAUGAGCUGCAGAAUCGCCGAGAACUGAAGAAGGGAGAACGUGCCAAUGAGCAGGUAGGCCACUGGCAGCACCACCACCAUCAGAGGGUUAACAGCCAUCUUGUCUGGGAACGAUCGCGGACGGACAGCUAGCAGGAGCUCUGAGUUGACAAGUGUGUAAGCGUAGAAGAUGUGGUAGUGUAAAAGCUUGAGUGAGAUGACCUGUAAUUUCCAAUCGCAGGCGAAGUCGCUGCGAUUGAUUCAUUCCGAGGCCCCGCCCUUCCCGCAGGCAAAACAGCCCACAUUUCGCUCCACACACAUACUUCCAGUUCAAUUUGUAAGCGACAAAUCUUAUGUGCAGUUGAAAGCAACGUUUCUCCUGAAAACCCUGACAAGGUCUCGAGUCAAGAAGUAUAUUUCCGCCCCUUCCAGCGCUCGCCUAGUAGUAUCUUUCUCUUGCUUUCUGGCUAGUGUGAAUUCCUAAGCAUAGAGCUUGGUAGGCAUCGAGACAGAAAUGGCACAGGCAACUCGGUUAAGCACAGUAGCGCAACGACGCAUCCAGAGCGAGCUGAAUGAGUGGUAAGGGUGUUCUGUAUGACGUUGGGCGACUAGGGAUGCUGGGGAGGCCCACUGCGUGCCACUUGGCCGGCAGGGGUCCCUGCUGGGGUGCCCUAGUGCACACAGGGCGUGUCGUGCUGUCGCGCCAGGGCUGCUCCGCAAGAAGGCCACCUGGCCGUAUCUGUUGUGGCUGACCUGCAGGAUGCGGAGCCCGCCCGAGGGCUGCUGCCUGGAAUCGUGCGAGCCGAUGACCUCGUGGGUGGUCAUCAUGCAGGUGCGGGGCAGGGUGGCCGCGGAAGCACGGGGGCUGGCAGAGGGUGGCACAGCGCUCACGCGGGAGGACAAUUGCUGAACAGUGGCACGGACCAGACUGUAUGUUGGGGUCCGGAACAACGGGCUGGGCGGAGCAGAGUGCUGCCAGCCGGCAUCCGAAGGCACUGGUGCCCACCCUGUCCCGACCGCCCUCACCACCAACGCCCCCCCCCCCUGGUGUCAUCUCACACUCCUGGCGCCCUUGCCUCCCCCCUGCUACAUGGCCAGGGACCCGAGGGCGCGGGUGGUGUACGGCUGUACUCGGAUGAGGUGUUCCGGGUGCGGAUAGACUUUGGCGAGCAGUACCCACUGGACCCGCCUGACGUCAUCUUCCUGGCGCCCGCGCCCAUCCACCCACACAUCUACAGGUGCAGAGGUUGGGCAGGGGUCGGGUGGGGUGGAUAGUGUAUUCCAGUCCCAACUAAAUCAAGGCCCAGCCAGCCCAUAUUGGGGUAAGGUCCUCAAUGCAUCAAGGUACAUUAGGUCCAGGUGGCCUCGUUGUCCCUUGGCUUGCUCUGGUUUGGUCACCAGGACGCGUGGUGUGGUCACCACCGGAACUGUCCACGCUACUCACGCCAGCAUCCUUGCCCCACUCCUCCCCGAUCCUCCCACCGCAUGGCCGGCGGCAGCAACGGGCACAUCUGCCUGGACAUCCUGUACUCGGGGCGCAAUGGCGGCUGGAGCCCCGCACUCACCAUGAGCAAGGUGCGGGUGGGGGUGGUGCGGAACCGGGGUGUGGCGGCGGCGGUAGGCUGGGCAUGGGUGUUUGAGUGACGGGCGCCACAUUGGUGAAAGAUGAAGACAGUUGGACUCUCGAGCUCAGCUCUUGGCUGGGCCAUGCCUCCUCUUCCGCGUCCGAUAAGACGUCCAGCAAGCGCGGCCCUUGCCGUACCUAUACCGGUAACAUCUUAGCAAACCCGAAACCCAGCUGGCGGAGUUGUAACCCGCUGUUUUGGUCCCGAAUCUCGGUAAUGGGCUCGUGUUCGAACCGUUAUGUUGACUUGCCGGAACGCCUUCCCCGUCUGGCACAAUCACCACCGCCUUCCCGUCCUGGACCAGAAGCUACACGUUGCAAAUGCCGUAGAGGAAGCCGUGCAUGGAAGCGCUGGCCAGCGCGUCAGAAAUGCCUGUGCGCACUUAGGAAUCUCGCAACUCCCCCAUCACGCCCGCUACUUCAGCUGCAUUUCUCGUUAGUGAAGGCAUAUAAUCGGGCAGCCUCGUCCUCCACCUCACAUUGCAGGUGGUGCUGAGCCUACGCUCCAUGCUUGCCUCCAACACCGACAAGCGCAAACCGCCCGGGGACGCCGAGUACUGCGCGCGGGUGGGCAACCGCAGCCCCAAGCUCUCCAACUGGGUGUUUGAGGACGACAAGGUAUGAGGCUGAACCGGAGGAGCUGGAGCUGCAGCAUGGAGGACAGGAGCAGGGGGAGCAGGAGCCGGAGGACAGGUCACCAGCUGCGGCGGCAUGGGAGGGCUCGCAGUGACAGGGUGUGCGCGGCUUGGCGGCUUGGUGCCAGUUGCCCGGCGGUCGAGGCGCAGGGAGCUCAGCACAGCGGUGGCGGCGUGCGUGGUGGGACAGGCGGAGCUGGAGGCAGGCCACCAGACAGCUGGGCAUGAUGCAGGUCGGGCUUUUGGGCUGUGGAGCACGGGAGCACAAUGAGCUAUUGACAUAAGGUUAGACUGGGCAUGUUGGUCUUCGGCAGCACGAGUUUGGUCUUGUAUUGCACACAUCAGCGCGGCGUCAUGUCAUCAGUGGUGGACUGCAGCUCGAGUAGGAAUGCCGCCGGGGCAUGGAGCUCCGUUGGGCGCCAGGUGCGCUAAGGCCACAGUACGGUGUGGGCUGCGGGGGGUGGGGCGCAGGGCGGGUGUAGGGACGGACUGGUGGUGGAGCCGGCGGCGGCGUGCCUGGUGCUGGGGCGGCGCCGUACAAGACAUUGUGCAAUGGUGCAUGCGUUGAAGGGCUAGCUAACACAGCGGCGCCAUCCAGGAGUGCGCAUGCGUGUGCGGCUGGACGGCCGGUCCAUGGCGAAGAUGGGUGCGUAAUGCUACUGUAUGCAGAGCAGAUGCUGGCUGCUGCGAAGGGUAUAAGGCAAUGACAUGCGGAGGCGCGGAGGCAACGUCGAAUUGCGGGCACGUUGCGCAUAGACGGGUGGGGUGGUAACCCGGUACGACAAGUCACGCCACACCCCAAGGGAUCAACCUAUAUGGUGCUGUCCCAGUAAGGGCCGCGGAAGGCGGGGGUGCCGGGUGUCCACUGAUCGGCCACGGUCACACGCCCUGGCCCUGGCCUCGCCCUGGCCGUAAGCAUGUUGAUGGUGCUUUGACGUGCCGGUGUUGGACUUUUCAGUAGACCUGGUCACCUGGCCCCGGCCACACAGACUGAUGCAGUAAGUAGCUCUACCCUGUCACGCCGGGCGACUUGCCACGCCGGACGGAAGCCUAGCAGUUGGCGCGGAGCCGCGGAGAUGUCCAAGGGCCGUGGAGGAAGGCAAACCCUAACGGUCCUGGCGAGGUACGCACCCAGGCGAGCGCAAAUGCCGCGUUGUUUCCAACCUGUGCUUCAGCUAUGGCUUCAGAGGUAUCCGUGCAACAAGUUGUCAAACCGCCGGAGGUCAUGUGACGAUGUAACGCUGCCGCCCGUUAGUCCUUGACCAAAAGCCUUCGCUGACGCUAUCGAGCGCGCCUUAUGCCGGUUGGGCAAGGGGUCACUCUGUGUGGCAACGCUGAGGUGGUGGAGCGAGGGUUGGUCAGCCGAGUCGGCUGACAUUUGUCUGUUCUGCUGGUGUGGCCUUAUGCAGUUGGACCGCAGAACAUCAUUAUAUAAUGAGAGCAUCAACACGUUAAAGCAUAAUUCCGUAGGGGAAAACGGCCCAGAAAAAGCGCGUGUCCACGUCGAAACGCCUGCUUGCACUUUUGAAGCGCCAACUUCCCCGUCAUGCCCGCGACUUGAGCUGCAUUGUUCGUUAGUGGAUACACAUAAAUGGAUAGUGUCGGAGCGUGCCGGAGCGGUGGCACUGGCACGCGAAUCGGCAUGGGCCUUGCCGCGCCGAUAAAGAGUCGGAAACGGCCACCGAUCGACCGGCCGACUCAGACAUUCACAACCGAAAAGUCAUCCCGCUCGUGAUCGCUUAUAUUAACAUCUCACAGGGGAGCUUACAGCCAUGGCACUCCUUUCAUCACGUUCUUCUGCCAACUGCACUGGUCGUUCUGUCCGCCGCGCCACGGUCGCCCCUGCUCCCGUCGUCAAGCCUCACUCGUCCGUCGCCAUGCGGGUAAGCUCCUAGUGCGUGUGUUCUACUCUGUUGUCGAGAGCGGUGUUGCGCAAGCCUUGCAAGCCGAGAGCGCGGGACCGCUUUCGGUACUAAACGCAAAGCCUUUAGGCGUCCUCCGUCCAUUUUGACCCUCGUGCUGCCUGCCCAGACACAAUUGAUAUCUUUUGGCAUGUAUCGGAGUGGCGUUCUUAAUGCCGUGAGGCAGUGGCGACAUGCAAUUCCUUCCGACUGUUGCGUCGCCGUCACACCCUAGCCCUUUAGCUGUUUUGCUGUGUUUAUCUGGAGCCCAAUAAGGUUUCGCGUCUCCUCCUGUAGCACGGCGUGACGUCACAGACACUUUUGCCUCGUCAGUAACGCCUGGUUCUACUUCGAUUCUCCUGACGCUACCUGACCUCCCCGCGCAUGCUCAGCCCCUGGCGCCUUUGCCCUCCCUCCACAGUUCACCAACAACACCAAACAGGACGCCGCCGUGCCGGCGCCCUGCGACAUGCAGUUCGUCCUGGACUCCAAGUUCACCAGGGAGAGCGGCCUACAGCCCCGCGUUGUCUUCCGCAACCUGACCACCCCCCAGCUGUACGAGAUGGUAAGUUAAGAUAUCACGCCGUCGCAACCUGCAAGGCCAGCAUGUCAGCAGAGCUGCUAUAUUGCCGGCCUUUAGAUUGCGCUGCCAGCCUACUUUGCCUCGUUGUAUGACAGCCUUGCGUUCCAUCCAACCCAACGCCCACAGGCUCUGGCCCACGAGCCUGGCACCCAUAUCACCUCGUCUGGUGCCCUGGCCACUCUGUCCGGUAAGCGCCACAUAGAUAGAGACUCUUGCAUUCACCGCGCCGGCGCCUGUCUUGCUGUGUGUAUCCUGCUGCAGGCAAGGUGUGACCAUGCCGUGGCCUGCUACUUGAGCCUGGUACCGCCCUGCCGCGCCUCCCCACACAGGCGAGAAGACCGGCCGCAGCCCUAAGGACAAGUGAGUGCGCCUUGCAAGCCUUCCACGCACUGAUGUGGGCCCAAGGCUCAGCGCCCCCUGUCUGCGCCCCCCGCCCCCCGCGCUUAGUGCCUUGUUACCUGCUCACCGCACGUCCACCCUUGCCCCUGCCCUCUGCCGCUGCGCAGGCGUGUGGUGCGCGACCCCGAGACCGAGAAGGACCUGUGGUGGGGCCCCUACUCGCCCAACUACGUGAUGGACGACCGCACCUUUCUGACCAACAGGGAGCGCGCCAUCGACUACCUGAACACCCUGGACCGCGUGUACGUGGUGGACGCAUUCGUCAACUGGGACCCAGAGGUGAGUUUGUGCACCCACCCCCUGUUUGCUUCUGCCGAGAGUUUGCAUGUCGUUGGUCUGCGUGCUUGCGCCUGAGCAGCACAGGAAAUGUCGAAAGGUGUGCCUCGUCAGCUAUAGCGGCAUGGCUCCUCGGGUACCUGUUGCUGUAGGCAAACCCCUCCGUCCCCCCCCCGCCCUCCCGACCGCCCCCCCCCCCAGUCCCGCCUCAAGGUGCGUGUGGUGACCAGCCGCGCCUACCACGCCCUGUUCAUGAGCAACAUGCUCAUCAAGCCCACGGAGGAGGAGCUGAAGACCUUCGGCGAGCCCGGUGAGUGAGCAGCAGGGGAGGGUCUGGCGGCAGUGGGGAUAGCGCAUAUGCAGUGAGGGCAUGGCCGCGCUUGUAGUUUGGUGGCGUGCCGCACGGCGGCGCCUUGCACCCUUGUUGUUUGCUGAGCAACCCUCUUGCCCUCCUUCCCCAGACUUUGUGAUCUACAACGCCGGCGCCUUCCCCGCCAACAAGUACACCCAGUUCAUGACGUCCCAGACCUCCAUCGAUCUCAGCCUGAAGCACAAGGAGAUGGUCAUCCUGGGCACCAUGUACGCCGGCGAGAUGAAGAAGGGCGUCUUCACGUGAGUACACUGCAAGAACACACACACACACACACACACAUCAGCGCAUAAAAGCUAGGAUAGAUACCGCUAGACACCGCACCGCAUCCGACGAGCACUCAGCGACAAGCAAGGGCUUUCUUGUUUCGACGUGACUGACGCGCCCUCACCGCCGCCCUCCCUUUGUGCCCCCUUUCUCCCCCACAGGCUGAUGCACUACCUGAUGCCUAUGCAGGGCAAGCUGUCGCUGCACAGCGGCUGCAACGUGGGCGCUGACGACGACGUGACCAUGUUCUUUGGACUGAGCGGCACCGGCAAGACCACACUGUCGGCGGGUGAGGCCGCGGCGCGGUGGGGGAGGGGGGUCCCGCGGCAAUGGGAAGAGGGCAUUUUGUUCGGACGCGCAAGGCAGGCGUAGCGACAUAUUGCGUGCGUGUGUGCACGGGGCAGCCCGCCUGGAUUUCCAGGAGCCAUGGACUCUGUCGCACGGCGUAAGCGGCUGACAGGACCAGCUGCUGUACACGGCUUUUAUUGUACGGCAACAUGCGCUGACCCACCUCCCUCCGCUUGCUCCCGCCGCAUUGCAUGCAGAUCCCAAGCGCCCGCUAAUUGGUGACGACGAGCACGUGUGGAGCGACAAGGGCGUGUUCAACAUUGAGGGCGGCUGCUACGCCAAGUGCAUUGGCCUCAAGGCCACCACCGAGCCUGAGAUCUGGAACGCCAUCAAGUUCGGCACGGUUCUGGAGAACGUGGACUACAACCCCGUCACCCGCGAGGUGGACUACGAGAGCGAGCGCCUGACUGAGAACACUCGCGCCUCGUACCCCAUUGAGUUUAUGAACAACGCCCGCAUCCCCUGCGUGGGCCCGCACCCCAAGAACGUCGUCCUGCUGGCCUGCGACGCCUUCGGCGCGCUGCCGCCCGUGUCGCGCCUGACCCUGGAGCAGGCCAUGUACCACUUCAUCAGCGGAUACACGUGAGUGGAUUGCCCGGCGCGGUGCUGGGAGUGGCUGGCUGGGUGCCUUAGAUGGCGGGAGUCGGGUUGCCUUGGGAGCGCUGGGGCACUCGCACGCCGAAUCUAUACUUGAAGCGCCUAGCGAUAGAUGCAGACAAAACAUGCGGGCGGCGCGGUGGUUGACGUGACUGGCGGCCGAGGGGUGGGAGUCGGGUUGUGUGGUGUUUGGCGAGCAUAAGGGAACGAGACACGCAGGACAGCGUACGCUCAGAAGCCCCAAGCAAUGCAGCCCGGCUAUAACAUGCGUCUGACCGCUCCUCCCCCGGCGCCCUGUAUUGCUUUUGCUGCUGCAGUGCCAAGGUUGCCGGCACUGAGAUGGGCGUGACUGAGCCAACCGCCACCUUCAGCGCCUGCUUCGGCAGCGCCUUCCUGAUGCUGCACCCCUACAAGUACGCCACCAUGCUGGCCGAGAAGAUGAAGGCGCACGGCACCACCGCCUGGCUCAUCAACACUGGCUGGACCGGCGGCAAGUGAGUGACGCGGCGGCACACAUCACGACCAGGGUUGGCUGGCGGGGGGUGGUGCACGGGAGUGGAAGCGCAAUGGGUUCGUGUGCGUUGACACAGUAGUAGGGUAGUCGGUCAGGCUCGCACCUGGCUGACCGCCUGCUCCGCUCCUCUGUGCGGUUGUUUGCUGCCUGCAGGUACGGCGUGGGCAAGCGCAUCAGCCUGAAGCACACCCGCGCCAUCAUCGACGCCAUCCACUCUGGCGAGCUGGACAAGGCCGAGUACGUGACCACGCCCAUCUUCGGGCUGCAGGUGCCCAAGGCCAUCAGCGGCGUGCCGGCCGAGAUCCUGAGCCCCGAGAACGUGUGGCCCAACAAGGAUGAGUUCGCCAUGUGCUUGAACAGCCUUGGCCACAUGUUCAUCAGGAACUUUGAGCACUUCAAGUGAGUCAGUCACCAAGUGACCUAAACCUAGUCAAGUCCUCAAGUGUGCUGGGUGCGGGGUGGUGGACGGAGUGUCGGGCUUGGGCGGGGGUGGGGGGCUAAGUAAUGCAUAGUGGGCAUGAUGCUGGUCCCGCUGGGGCGGCGGCACGGGGAGCGGAAGGGGUAGGGGCACGACGGGAAGAGGCUUGGGUACACGAUGAGGCUGGGGGCGAUGCGCUCUUUGGGGUGGCGGCAUGUGGGGGAGGCCAGCAAACACGACAACACACGCUCUCAGCGAACCUCACUGAAUCUUGCGCGCGCCUCUCCCCGCUUCUCGAUCCCCGCGCCCGCCCCACCCACAGCGACGGAGAGCAGUUCGUGGGCAAGGACACGGCCGCGCGCAUUCUGACCGGCGGGCCCCAGCCCAUCGCCAAGGAGGACGUUGAGAAGAAGGGCUUCGGCGCCUUCAAGACGCAGUAAGCAGCCGCCCGCCUCCGGACACCGGACACACGGCAUCCAGGCAGCCGGCACGCGGCGCCACGUGGGCGCGCGUGUGGCGCUGCACGGCGAUGAGGUGGACCGGUUGUGGGGCCCUCGCAGCAGCGGGGUGCAGGGCUGGCCUGCUGGGGCCUUGAACACUGACACAUACUGACACAAGGACCCCCAGUUGGGCGACCUGUGCCCUGGGCGACCGGCGACGUGCGUUGGCCGGCGCGGGUUUUGGUGUUCGUAUUGGGAUAAAGAAGCGCGCAGCUGGCCCCCCCCCAGGAGUGGACAAUGACUUCUUUUUAAGUGCUGGGCUUGCCGCGAUGUCGGCACGCCAUGCCGCCCUUCUGGACAAAAAUUGAUUAAUUGCGUGACGUUAGAAGUCAAUGUGUGCAUGGCCGUGCUCUGGUAGCAGCGGUUACGGUGCGUCAGGUGACGGGGGGCAGUGGGGCCGCGCACCUGGUAGAGCGUUUGGUUUGGGUAAAAUAGUUGUGCAGUGAUAUUCUGUAUCUCCAGUUGCUUGCGUGAGAUUGCGUGUAUGCAAAAUAACCCAACCAAGUCUCUGCACACAUGGGCCUGUAGCCGCCGGACGGCAAUGGAACACUGGCGUCCCCGGAAGCAGUUUUGAGGGUGCGACAGGUCGGUGGAGUAGAGGUUGGCUACACGGACGAGUCAGGGAGGAGGACUUGUGCAGCGGCCGCAUGGCUCUGCUGCUAGCUGAGCGCUGGCGCCAACAUGCCCGUCAGGUAUGGACGGAGUUAACCGGGGCCAUGCGUCUAAUUCUUUAUUGGCGUGCGGUAUUGAAGUACGCAGCGUGAGCGACUGAGCCAGAUGAGUAGCCUGUGAACUCCGCGCGAGUUUCAAGCAGGGGGAGCCAGUAGGAAGCACUCGACCACUCAACGCAGCAAGGCUGCGGGCGCACGGGUGCUGUAAAUGAAGAACGAAGCCAUUGCAAGAGAACCAGCAUUGACGUCCAGGUGGAUUGCCUGGUGCAUACGUGGCGUGUGCGUGCCGGCGUAGCUUUGCUGUUGAGUCAGACUGAGUCGCCGGGCACCCGGAGCUAGCAACCAGUCCAUCA
rnacentral:lncRNA from 1 species